rnacentral:pre_miRNA from 1 species
AAUCCCGUCCUGUUCCUAAGUACUAGUGCCGCAGGAGUGACUAGAUUGGGCUAGAAAUUACCGCGUCUCCUGCUGCUCAAGUGCUUAUCAAUGGUUCGGGA